rnacentral:rRNA from 1 species
CAGCGCUGCUAUAAUGCAGUCGAGCGGACUUGCUGGAGCUUGCUCCAGCAGGUUAGCGGCGGACGGGUGAGUAACACGUGGGCAACCUGCCUGUAAGACUGGGAUAACUCCGGGAAACCGGAGCUAAUACCGGAUAGUAUCUUGAACCGCAUGGUUCAAGUUGGAAAGACGGUUUCGGCUGUCACUUACAGAUGGGCCCGCGGCGCAUUAGCUAGUUGGUGAGGUAAUGGCUCACCAAGGCAACGAUGCGUAGCCGACCUGAGAGGGUGAUCGGCCACACUGGGACUGAGACACGGCCCAGACUCCUACGGGAGGCAGCAGUAGGGAAUCUUCCGCAAUGGACGAAAGUCUGACGGAGCAACGCCGCGUGAGUGAUGAAGGUUUUCGGAUCGUAAAACUCUGUUGUUAGGGAAGAACAAGUGCGAGAGUAACUGCUCGCACCUUGACGGUACCUAACCAGAAAGCCACGGCUAACUACGUGCCAGCAGCCGCGGUAAUACGUAGGUGGCAAGCGUUGUCCGGAAUUAUUGGGCGUAAAGCGCGCGCAGGCGGUUUCUUAAGUCUGAUGUGAAAGCCCCCGGCUCAACCGGGGAGGGUCAUUGGAAACUGGGAAACUUGAGUGCAGAAGAGGAGAGUGGAAUUCCACGUGUAGCGGUGAAAUGCGUAGAGAUGUGGAGGAACACCAGUGGCGAAGGCGACUCUCUGGUCUGUAACUGACGCUGAGGCGCGAAAGCGUGGGGAGCGAACAGGAUUAGAUACCCUGGUAGUCCACGCCGUAAACGAUGAGUGCUAAGUGUUAGAGGGUUUCCGCCCUUUAGUGCUGCAGCUAACGCAUUAAGCACUCCGCCUGGGGAGUACGGUCGCAAGACUGAAACUCAAAGGAAUUGACGGGGGCCCGCACAAGCGGUGGAGCAUGUGGUUUAAUUCGAAGCAACGCGAAGAACCUUACCAGGUCUUGACAUCCUUUGCCACUUCUAGAGAUAGAAAGUUCCCCUUCGGGGGACAAAGUGACAGGUGGUUGCAUGGGUUGUCGUCAGCUCGUGUCGUGAGAUGUUUGGGUUUAAGUCCCGCAACGAGCGCAACCCUUGAUCUUAGUUGCCCAGCAUUCAGUUGGGCACUCUAACNGACUGCCGNGACAAACCGGGAGAAGUGGGAUGACGUCAAUCAUCAUGCCCUAUGACUGNGNUACNCACGUGCUACAUUGNNUGNNACAAANNNCUUGGCGA